GAAGGCUUGCAACUUCCAGAGGAAGACUUGGGCAGCAAAUUGCAGUUAAUUUCCAUCAGUUUCAGCUCUUAGCUCAGAAGAGGCUACCCAUCCCCCCACCAUCUAGCCCAAUGGCAGGUAGCUGUGCACAUAUUCCUGGAGUAGCUUGCAGGAACCAGGAUAAGGAAACUGAGGAUCAGAGGCAUUAAGCAAUUUUUAAGGCCAUACAGCCAGCUGGGAUUUGAAGCAAGUCUGCCAGAUUCACAGAAAGUCCUAUGCUUCCUGGAUACAUGGCAGUCAGCCUUUGAUCUUGGUGCCUCUGGUUAGCUGCAUGCUGUAAGUUAUCCCUCCUCAAGCUAAUUCUGGGCAAUGAUGAAAUCUACAUCCCUUCCCUCUUCACGCUCUUUAUCACAAACCUCCUGUCCAGUCUGACAUGAGUCGGACCAGCUCUCCCGCAGGGACUCACAGAACUCACUAAUCCUUUAAAAAGAAGGGGGACUUCAGGUUAUAGUUAGUCCUAGAGUUAUGAUGUUAAUCCUAUAAAUCAACCACCC
rnacentral:lncRNA from 1 species